rnacentral:rRNA from 1 species
CCUACGGGUGGCAGCAGUGAGGAAUAUUGGUCAAUGGACGCAAGCCUGAACCAGCCAUGUAGCGUGAAGGAUGACUGCCCUACGGGUUGUAAACUUCUUUUAUAAAGGAAUAAAGUGAGGCACGUGUACCUUUUUGUAUGUACUUUAUGAAUAAGGAUCGGCUAACUCCGUGCCAGCAGCCGCGGUAAUACGGAGGAUCCGAGCGUUAUCCGGAUUUAUUGGGUUUAAAGGGGGCGUAGAUGGGUUGUUAAGUCAGUUGUGAAAGUUUGCGGCUCAACCGUAAAAUUGCAAUUGAUACUGGUAGGCUGGAGUAUAGUUGAGGUAGGCGGAAUGCGUGGUGUAGCGGUGAAAUGCUUAGAUAUCACGAAGAACUCCGAUUGCGAAGACAGCUUACUAAACUGCAACUGACAUUGAGGCUCGAAAGUGUGGGUAUCAAACAGGAUUAGAUACCCGAGUAGUC